CUUCACCGAGCCCAGCCACAGCGGGUCCCCGCCGCUGCGGUCCUGGCCGUAGGUGGCCAGCAGCGCCUGGGCCUC
rnacentral:antisense_RNA from 1 species